UGUAUCCCUGUUUAUCAGUAUUGUUUUGUUGUAAGAUGUCAAUUUGGUCCCUCUAUCUGUAGAAAUCAACAUUCUGUGUGUAAAAAAGCUGAAAAGAGUGAUUCAGUGAGUUAUGAUGGACCUUUUUUGAAUGCUCUGAACUACUGAACAGGUUAAACUCUUGUCCCAAGGCAAAAUUUACGUUGAACAGAAGAUCCUAAGGAAAGUGUGCACAUCGACUGCCAAAAAUGGAGCAAAAGGGGAUGUUACCUCAUGAUGUAUGGACUUUUAGACAAGGUUUUUACCCUGCACAAGUUUGCCAGCUCAAGGGGAACAGGAGUGGGAAAACCGCACCCCGGUGAUGAGCAUAUACCUGUCCUUGACCAAGACAAGCUGGAUUUGUGGAGAUGUAAAUUUAUACAGAGAUCAUGCAGGAGCAGUACAAGGGCAAACCUGUGCAAGUGCGAGAGAAGAUCCGCAACCUGCUGAAACCCAGCAAAUUAAAAAAACAGUUUUAAAAAAUGAUGGGAGUUCUAUACUAAAAACAGUACCCUUGUGCUCAUGUGUUCAUAUUGUGACAUAAUAGCUUAAAAUAACUACUGUGUCAAAACAUGUUUUAAGAAUUUCCAUUUAUCAUUGUUUCUUUUGUCAGGGGUGUGAUUGAGGCAAAGUCGGAGGGGAGGAAAAUUCUGUUGACUGAUUUUGACUACGCAAAUGGCGCUUAACGAAGUGACAAACAUAAAAACAGACAUUAAAAUAAACAACUUUUUGAACUUCAUAACACUAUUUCUUUAUAAAAACCUGUUAAACUUCACAUUAAUCAUACUGAGGAUGCAAAGUAAACAGUUAAGUAAGUAUUUAUUGUGAUCAAUAGCAGCAGUUUUUCAAUGUAUUGAAUGACAGUUAAUAGACUAAAUAAAAACAAACACACUUGAGUGUUCUUCUGGUGUUAAUGAUGUAUUAACUGAGUUAAAUUAAUAUAUUUAAUUUGUUUACCUUUCAAUAUCUUGCAUUUCACAUCUUCACUCAGUUCAAAGCUAUUUCAGUUAACUGAACAGCGUGACAAACAUAAUAAAGCAGAAUAUGCAUAUGAAUCUGAUUAUACACAGACCCACAGACAUAUAAAAAUCAAAUCAUGUUUGUCUAUUUCCAUGUUCGAACGAUACUCUCUAAAUUGUUUUACUUCGCGAGUAGACUACACUCCAAUUUGCAAACACUGGUUUCCGUGACACAAAUUCAGUGGG